AAUUCCCGGUGUAGCGGUGAAAUGCGUAGAGAUCGGGAGGAAUACCAGUGGCGAAGGCGGCCUUCUGGACUGACACUGACGCUGAGGUGCGAAAGCGUGGGUAGCAAACAGGAUUAGAUACCCUGGUAGUCCACGCCGUAAACGAUGUCGACUAGCCGUUGGGCUCCUUGAGAGCUUUGUGGCGCAGUUAACGCGAUAAGUCGACCGCCUGGGGAGUACGGCCGCAAGGUUAAAACUCAAAUGAAUUGACGGGGGCCCGCACAAGCGGUGGAGCAUGUGGUUUAAUUCGAUGCAACGCGAAGAACCUUACCUACCCUUGACAUCGAGAGAACUUUCCAGAGAUGGAUUGGUGCCUUCGGGAACUCUCAGACAGGUGCUGCAUGGCUGUCGUCAGCUCGUGUUGUGAAAUGUUGGGUUAAGUCCCGUAACGAGCGCAACCCUUGUCCCUAUUUGCCAGCGAUUCGGUCGGGAACUCUAGGGAGACUGCCGGUGACAAACCGGAGGAAGGUGGGGACGACGUCAAGUCAUCAUGGCCCUUACGGGUAGGGCUACACACGUGCUACAAUGGCCGGUACAAUGGGUUGCGAAUCCGCGAGGUGGAGCUAAUCCCAUAAAGCCGGUCUCAGUCCGGAUCGGAGUCUGCAACUCGACUCCGUGAAGUCGGAAUCGCUAGUAAUCGUGAAUCAGAAUGUCACGGUGAAUACGUUCCCGGGCCUUGUACACACCGCCCGUCACACCAUGGGAGUGGACUGCACCAGA
rnacentral:rRNA from 1 species